AGUGGAAAAUACCCUUCCCCCGUGCAAAAUACCCCAAAUCGAACCCAACCCUAACCUGUGCCUGCUGUCGCCGCCGUCACGCUCGAUCCAAUCCUGUGCCACCAUCACCGCCGGCCUCGCGCUCCACCCAGUCCUCAAUCCCCCGUCCCGGAGCUCGCACUCCCCCGCCGCCGGCCUCACACUCCACCCCGUCCUCAAUCCGCCGUACUCAAUCCCCUGAGCUCCAGACCUAUAUCGAGGCGCCGUCCUCGCGCUGUCCAUCCAGUCGCUGUCCGCGCACAACCCCCUCCCCCAACGUCCAGCCGACGUCAUCGUCAAUCCCCGUCCUGUGGCUGCCGGGAUCCAUCUCUGGGCUCCCACUGCUUCCGCACCUGCUACUGCGGGGCUCCAUAUCUGGGCUCUUGCUGCCGCCGGAGCUCCAUCUUCGGGCUGCCGCUGCUGUCGGCCCUGCUACUGUUUGACUUCUGCCCUCUGCUGCUGGGCUCCAUCUCCAGGCUCAUGAGAUCCGUCCCCAAGAUCCGUCCGUCCACCGCCCCCAACCCCAAUCCCAUUCCACGUCCCCGAGUCCCCGACCCCAUCCCUUACUCCCUUCCUUGGAGUCACAGCCUCCGACAACUCCGUCCAUCAUCGCCUUGCACCUCGGGCUGGAGGGAGUGGGUGUUACUAGAUCUCACGACACUGCAUCUGUUGUUGACAAAAUGCACCACUUGUGGCUGCUAUGUUUUCUCCCUCAUACAUGGCAUCAAUGGUGUGUCUGCCUGAUCCUGCAACAAGUGUUCACUCUUUGAUGAGUCUUCUAAUCUGCAAUUUAUGCCUGGUCCAUCUUCAUGCUACACAUGGUACUUUGACAUGGCCAUCAGCCUGACAGGAAUCCACUCCAAUUUUUUUAAAGCUUGCUAGGUUGCCAGACGAUGGGUGCUGAAAUUUCUUAUAUCUCAUAAAUUUGGAAGUCUUGAGAAGGUAAUGAUGCUUCCCUCAUUUGUACUCCCUCUGUAAACUUUCAUAAGACCGCUCUCUAAAGCGGGCGUAGUAUUUUGAAUAUUUGUCAGCUAGCCCGCUAUCUUUACUUGCCCUCCCCAAUUAUAUUUCUGCAAUGAUUGGCCAUUUAUCUCAUACAUACUAUCAACCAGAUCAUGCAGUUGUUCCAAUAUUCAUGAAAAUGCCCCUUUUAGCAGAUAGUAACUCAAGUAUAUAGAAGAUACAAGUAACCAAAGGGAGUUUUGGUUUCAGGUGUCGAUCCUCCUUUUUCCGUACUUGCUGGUAGCAUUUUCCUUUUUUUGGUUUCAUAUGGCAUCUAUCUUAUAUUUCUGGCAGCAGUUAAAUUGAACUGGAGGCAGAAAACAAACUUGAUACACUAUAAAUGUGUUUCUAGAUUGUACCAACUCGUCGUUUUUUGUGUAUUGAAAAUAUCUUCUUAGAGUCAGAAUCACCAUUUGAUGCACUAAUACUUGCAUCGCUUCCACUUUAGUACAUUAUUUGCUAUCACAUAUAUUAAUAUAGUUGACGAAAUCUUCUAGUUAAUGCUAACAUGUCUGCUUAAAAUGGGAAAGAUGGCUAAUUUGUGGGUUGAGCAUAUUUAUAACUAAUUAUAGCCUAUCAAUCCCAUUCUGAUUGUAAGCAGUAGGAAGAUACAAGAAGUUCAACCAUAAUAAUGAUGAUCUAGUUCAAGAAUAAGGCAGUACUUAAAUCUUAAUAAUGUUCGUACAUGGUACUUUUGUGAGAUAUUCGUGUUUGUUCUGGUGAUGGACUAAUAUUACCUGAAAAUCCUUUGUGCAUUUGAAAAGUUCAUACAAUAAACUUACCAAGGACAUAACUUGCAGUCCCUUGGCUUACUUUCUAAUUUGAUUUAGGAUCAGCCGAGUUAUCUAUAUUAUUAAACAUAGUUUUCGUCUUCAUAGGGUGGUUGAUACAUGUCUUCACACUUUUCAGAGCAACGUGCGGUGGAAGAAGCAGCCUAUGAACUAAAAUAGUUUGCAUAAGAAACAUGCGAUGCGAGUACUCAACCAUCUACUGCGCAUGGAUGUGAUACUUCGGACUGUUCGACAGCAUUUGGCUGUUUGCAGUAUUUUGGACCAGCUAACUUGCGAUCAUGAAUCUUAUGUCUGUUCUGGACCAUUUGGUGCUUCAACUGAUUUGGAGCAUAUAUCUUGUGCUUAUGGGUGUGACUUUGUUCUGGACCAUUUAGUGUUUGAACUCCUUUAGAACAACAAAUAGUGGUCCUUUUAUGUGGCUUGUGUUUUGUAGAUGGUGGUCCAAAUGGCCAAACUUUGCUUUGUCAAGAUUGUCCUGUUUUUGAACUUAUGAUCAAUACAUGUAUGUUUUUGAACAUAUUA